rnacentral:rRNA from 1 species
GAAUAUUGGACAAUGGGCGCAAGCCUGAUCCAGCCAUGCCGCGUGUGUGAAGAAGGCCUUCGGGUUGUAAAGCACUUUUGUACGGGAAGAAAAGCUUUCGGUUAAUACCCGGAAGUCCUGACGGUACCGUAAGAAUAAGCACCGGCUAACUUCGUGCCAGCAGCCGCGGUAAUACAGAGGGUGCAAGCGUUGUUCGGAAUUAUUGGGCGUAAAGAGCGCGUAGGCGGUUUGCUAAGUCUGGUGUGAAAGCCCUCAGCUUAACUGAGGAAGUGCAUUGGAUACUGGCAGGCUUGAGUGUGAGAGAGGAUCGUGGAAUUCCUGGUGUAGCGGUGAAAUGCGUAGAUAUCAGGAGGAACACCGGUGGCGAAGGCGGCGAUCUGGAUCAUAACUGACGCUGAGGCGCGAAAGCGUGGGUAGCAAACAG